CAAAUAUAUGAAGUAGAGUAUUAAAAGAAAAUCACUUCCUCUGUUAUUUAGUUGAGUUUAUUUUUUAUGUCUUAUUAGAAUAUCAAUUUGUUUUUCCAUUGCAGCUGAAAACACUCCCCUCGAAAACCCAUAACCCUUAUUUUUCUCCGAAAAACUCUAAACCUUCGUCUUCCCAAAAUUCCAUAACCCUUUUUCUUCUUGUUUCUGGUGUUUUUUUAGAGGAAACAAACCACUUUACCUGCGCAUCACAUCCAACUCCUUUCCCCUUUCGACCUUCCAAUUUUCUUUUUUUAUUAUUCUUCCCCAAAUAGGGAACCCUAAUUUUUGUUUUAUCCCAAUCUUAGAAAUUGAUAUCUUCAUUAUUUCUGAUGUUAGAUUAGCGUAGCCAUUGCUAUAAUAUUUUUAAGUUAUUGUGGUAAACGAUGAGAGUCCUUAUGGCACUCAUGAUAUUGUAAAACAAUUGCAACAAGUUUACGGAGAAGAUCAGAUUCUGUUAACAAAGACACUUAGGAAGAUGGGUUUAGGUAUGUACCUGAUGCUUUUACUCAAUGAUCUUGAUAAAUUGGCAUUUGACGUUGCAGGAAUGACCUAUACUCAUGGAAUGAAGCAUGCAUCUGGAAAUUUUGUUGGCAUUAUGGAAAUUCGGUAGAUAAAGCAGGGACUAGCUUCGUCAAGUUUGAAAACUGCAUUUGAUGAAUAGUAUAGGAAACAAAUUUGGCUGUUUGUAUCCGAUCCGAAACUGCAAUAUGAAAUUGUUGUCUGCAACAGGAGCCUGAAUAGAUGGAUUGUCAAUCUUCUUCUGCAUCUGUAUCAUAACUUAGAUGGUUGAAGAUUUCAUUUCCAGAAUUGGAGUCCUCUUUGCAAAUGAUGAUCAACUUGUUAAACUGCUGCUCAGAGUAUGGCACUUCAGCUUUAUUAGAUCUAAACAUGUCUACCUAAAGAUUCUAUGAUUUUAAAGCUAGCUUUUCAGGAGAGGAGAUAAAGAGUCAACUUCAAGACAUUGUGUUAAUUAUAUAUACUUGAUUGUCAUUUUUAUAAGAAAUUAGAGAUAAAGAAUAUUAAUUCUAUAGAGAAUUGUUUUAAGAGUUUCAUUGUAAUCUCUUAGUUUCAAAACAAUUUUAGUACUAUUUAAUUAUGAUUUCUAUGUACUUUUUUCUUAAUGUUCUUGACAUGAUAUGUACAACUCUUGGUUUAUGUUGGAUAGGAUAUAGAUUUGGUUUCAUGUUUUACUGUGUUCGUGGUUAGUGAAUGGUGGCUUCAACAUUUAGGGGUUGAUUGGUAGAAACCCUUCCCUUAUCUAUUGUUAAUGUAAAAUAUCUCUUUUGCACAA